UACGUAGGGUGCAAGCGUUGUCCGGAAUUAUUGGGCGUAAAGAGCUCGUAGGCGGCUUGUCGCGUCGGCUGUGAAAACCUAGGGCUCAACCCUGGGCCUGCAGCCGAUACGGGCAAGCUAGAAUUCGGUAGGGGAGACUGGAAUUCCCGGUGUAGCGGUGAAAUGCGCAGAUAUCAGGAGGAACACCGAUUGCGAAGGCAGCUCGCUGGAACGUUACUGACGCUGAGACGCGAAAGCGUGGGGAGCAAACAGG
rnacentral:rRNA from 1 species